rnacentral:rRNA from 1 species
GAACUGCGGAGGACAUUAUUGAAUGAACUUGGUGUGGUUGUUGCUGGCCCUUUCGGGGGCAUGUGCACACCCAUCAUCCUCAUCUCUCCACCUGUGCACCUCUUGUAGACUUGGAUUGACUUUCCGAGGCAACUCGGUCGGGAGGACUUGCUGGCAUUAGCUGGCUUUCCUUGCAUUUCCAAGUCUAUGUUUUUUCAUAUACCCCAUUGAAUGUAACAGAAUGUAACAUAUUGGGCCUUUGUGCCUAUAAAAACUUAUACAACUUUCAGCAACGGAUCUCUUGGCUCUCGCAUCGAUGAAGAACGCAGCGAAAUGCGAUAAGUAAUGUGAAUUGCAGAAUUCAGUGAAUCAUCGAAUCUUUGAACGCACCUUGCGCUCCUUGGUAUUCCGAGGAGCAUGCCUGUUUGAGUGUCAUUAAAUUCUCAACUAUUAUCAGCUUUUGCUGAUGAUGGCUUGGAUAUGGGGGUUUAUUUUGCUGGCUUCUUCACAGAUUGUCAGCUCCCCUUAAAUGCAUUAGCCGGUGCCCCGCGUGGACUGUCUAUUGGUGUGAUAAUUAUCUACGCCGUGGACAUCUACAAUCAUAUGGGAUUGCACUGCUUCCAACCGUCUGUUUACUCAGACAAUACAUGACAAUUUGACCUCAAAUCAAGUAGGACUACCC